UGUAGAGUUAGAUAAAUCUACAUCGUAGAGAGAUUAAACGGUAGAUGGGCGUCUACUGGGUGUAAAUUGCGUCAAUUUCACACCCGCUAUAAUCCCAACAACUCAUUCAAGUGAUAGUGGUCCCUGUUUGGGAUUCUCUUGUUGAUCAAUCACAGGAAAUUCAAUCUAUUCAAGCAGGCCAUACGGUUUUUAUAGCUUAUCAAACAAACGACGAGCUUCGAGAUCAAACACGAUCAGUGGAAAACAAAUGUAUGAAUUAAAAAAAAACACAUACAAUAGUCGGGCUUCCAUAGCACCGUAGAAGGUCAUUUCGACAAGGUGAAGUGCGUCGUCGUUCAAUAAUUAGCUGUCAAGGAUGAUUCUUUGCCAAAGAACUCCACGGCACGUUUCACCACCGCUGCUGGACCGGGUGGAUCUGUGAAACCUCCAUCGAGAUGUAUGAGUGAGUGUGUGCGUGAAGACGUCUAUCGAAUCCAAGUAAAUAAUUGCUUAUCCGCGGUACGGACAAGCAAAGUGGAAGCUAGAAAAACCUGCGCGAGACAGACGGUAGCCAGAAGUACCCAGCGUCUCCUUCGCUUCGUCCAGCACAACUUGGAAUGAUUUCCAUUUUUCAAUUCAUCGCUCGGCUAAAUAAACUGCGCAGCAGAGCCAAAAGGAGCUCCAAUCCAUCAGAGAUGAAUCAAGGAGUCGUUGAACGGUGGCCGCAAGGGGCUGGUUUAUCGAACUUGAACUUGACAAACUGUUUGAGGAGUCGCUUGCUGUGAUCAUUACAGGUGGUGGUGGAAGAAUCAAUUAAAUUAAUGGGUAAUUUAUUAUUCGGCUACGAUCGUAAAACGCGGUUUUCUUUCCUGGAGUUGGCAGUAACAAGUGCAAAUAUUUUACCUGUGUUUUUGCGUAUGAUUAAACGAACGAUUUGAUCUGUGGUAAAUGGAAACUAAUUCUGAAAAAAAAACAUACAUCGAAGGUCACUUUAUAUGGAUCGCAAAUCGGACACUCGACCACAAUCGAAGGCGUCACAUUUAUUGAGGACAUCAGGCAGACAGACCAGGCAAAUUAAAUUACAAUUCAAUGUACACUUACCGUAUCGAAGAACUCAGUGAACUUCGAGAAGUAGUACCACCAACAGGCGUGCACCAUCUGCGUGGGUGGCCGAGGUAAGGAUCCGGUCCGAUUGUGGUGAUAUUAUUAUUUUUUGUUCACAUUACGGUUCACGAACCGUUUCAAUUUACGACAGAGAGGAGAAAAACAACAUAAAAAGAGCAUACAUUAGUAAAAACAGCACAAGCAAAUGUCCCAGUUGGCACAUAGGGACAGAAGCCUAUUCAAGUGGAUCCUAAUACAGUUACGCACACGUUCGAGAUGGGACAAGAAAUGCCACAACUAAGUGUUGUGCAGGGAUGUAGACCUAAGCAAAGCUAAGAGCGGGUUGUCUUUAUUUUUUUAUUGGUAAUGACGUUGGAAGCUUAUAGAAGAAGGCUCAGAAUACAGUUGAAAGAAAGGGAACUGCAUAGUAGAGUUGCAACUAACUAUUUUACUGUUUUGUUUCAUAGAUAAGCAAAAAUGGUGAAAAAUAGUAGGAAAAAUGAAAAUUUAAAGUAUAAAAGUACAUUAAACAUAUAGAUAUAAAUAAGACAGGAUAGAGUUUGGUUUAAACUCUAGAUUUAAACUUGGUUUGGUUCUCUGAAAACACUAAAAGGCUGCAUUCUCUCAUUUUAAUUCUGAUUUGAAAUGCGGUUAUUUACAAAGUUAGUGUUAGUUGUAGAUAGUGUUUACAUGUUUAUGUCAGAUUAGUGUUGAUAUGCCACCGGAAAUGUGAAUUUAACUACAGUAUAAAGGUAUACGAAUGAAGUUGAACCUGUUACACCAGUGAUCAAAUGAAAGAUGGGAUAAAUUUGGCCGAAACAAGGUGCGAUAAAAACAACCCCACUUUUGACUAAACAAAACCCCUGAGUAAUAACAAUUGUACAAACACAACUACUCUAGUUAGAAGCUCAUCUGACUUUCGUUUUUUUGGUUUUGGAAAAAUGCGUAUGACUACUGAAUAAUUAUAGCUUAUUUUGAUUUGGCAAUUACAAAUAAAACUGAUAGGAAGCAGUUUUUUCUCACACAAACACAAAGAUACGAGCGGUUUUUAUUUGUCAGGACGCAGAAACAACAGGCGUUAAUUAUUAUUGGCGUUCAUUCAAACAAUUGUUCUGUUCUAAAGGGACACGUGCAAUUUGGAAUACUUAACCUACCCUUAACGUUUUAGGGUGGUUACUAUAGUCGACCGGCUGACAUCGGAAGUUAUAAUGUCCCGUUAGCCAACCCGAUACACCAAUCUGUGGAAGGCAAUAGAAGAAGAAUACAAUUCCUAGUUAGUGCCAUCGGGAAGAUUUUACUCGUCGUCCGUUCAAAGAAGUGUCGCACUUUUCGAGCUUUCAGCGGAAGCUUCGAUUAUUUGAAAUGGCUCUGUUUCGAAAUUGGGCUCAGGUUUGAUUUAACUUUAUCGAACUGAUCUGACUCAAUCUGAUAGUGACAAACAUAAAAAAGUAGGCCAUGAAACAGAACCUUUUCAAACUGGCAACCAACAAAACAAAAACCGAAACUGAAAAAAAAUGUGAAAGGAAGAUUUAAUUUUGUCAUAACAGAAGGUUGAAAACGUCAUUCGUCCUGGGCGGUCGACGGUCAUUGAUGCAAACUACAGCGUAGAUUAUUCCCCUUCGGUUCAGAAAGUUUAAGAUGGGCCGCUUGGUCAUAGCAAAAACAAUCAAAAAAUCAGCGAAACUAGUUUAUAAUCUUGAGUUCUUCUUUAAUGUGUUAUAUUAUAUUAUAUUCUAAGGCAUUCCAUAAAAAACAGUUGACCUUACUAAAAAUAAAAAUUGACGAACUAAUACCAUUCAAUGCCUUUCUUUAUAAUGGUGAGUAACAGUAAAGUGAAAGUUAACCCGAAUCUGGCCAAUCUUUCUAAUUUGAGUUAAAUGCCUCACGCUAAAAAAUCAUACAGAUUCAUAUGUAGAACCAUGCAAUAUUACCGUCC